ACGAACGCUGGCGGCGUGGAUAAGACAUGCAAGUCGAACGGGAGAAUUGCUAGCUUGCUAAUAAUUCUCUAGUGGCGCACGGGUGAGUAACACGUGAGUAACCUGCCUCUUAGUGGGGGAUAGCCCUGGGAAACCGGGAUUAAUACCGCAUACGAUUGAAAGAUCAAAGCAGCAAUGCGCUAGGAGAUGGGCUCGCGGCCUAUUAGUUAGUUGGUGAGGUAACGGCUCACCAAGGCGAUGACGGGUAGCCGGUCUGAGAGGAUGUCCGGCCACACUGGAACUGAGACACGGUCCAGACACCUACGGGUGGCAGCAGUCGAGAAUCAUUCACAAUGGGGGCAACCCUGAUGGUGCGACGCCGCGUGGGGGAAUGAAGGUCUUCGGAUUGUAAACCCCUGUCAUGUGGGAGCAAAUUAAAAAGAUAGUACCACAAGAGGAAGAGACGGCUAACUCUGUGCCAGCAGCCGCGGUAAUACAGAGGUCUCAAGCGUUGUUCGGAAUCACUGGGCGUAAAGCGUGCGUAGGCUGUUUCGUAAGUCGUGUGUGAAAGGCAGGGGCUCAACCCCUGGAUUGCACAUGAUACUGCGAGACUAGAGUAAUGGAGGGGGAACCGGAAUUCUCGGUGUAGCAGUGAAAUGCGUAGAUAUCGAGAGGAACACUCGUGGCGAAGGCGGGUUCCUGGACAUUAACUGACGCUGAGGCACGAAGGCCAGGGGAGCGAAAGGGAUUAGAUACCCCUGUAGUCCUGGCAGUAAACGGUGCACGCUUGGUGUGCGGGGAAUCGACCCCCUGCGUGCCGGAGCUAACGCGUUAAGCGUGCCGCCUGGGGAGUACGGUCGCAAGAUUAAAACUCAAAGAAAUUGACGGGGACCCGCACAAGCGAUGGAGUAUGUGGCUUAAUUCGAUGCAACGCGAAGAACCUUACCUGGGCUUGACAUGUAAUGAACAACAUGUGAAAGCAUGCGACUCUUCGGAGGCGUUACACAGGUGCUGCAUGGCCGUCGUCAGCUCGUGUCGUGAGAUGUUUGGUUAAGUCCAGCAACGAGCGCAACCCCUGUUGCCAGUUACCAGCACGUCAAGGUGGGGACUCUGGCGAGACUGCCCAGAUCAACUGGGAGGAAGGUGGGGACGACGUCAGGUCAGUAUGGCCCUUAUGCCCAGGGCUGCACACGUACUACAAUGCCCAGUACAGAGGGGGCCGAAGCCGCGAGGCGGAGGAAAUCCUGAAAACUGGGCCCAGUUCGGACUGUAGGCUGCAACCCGCCUACACGAAGCCGGAAUCGCUAGUAAUGGCGCAUCAGCUACGGCGCCGUGAAUACGUUCCCGGGUCUUGUACACACCGCCCGUCACAUCAUGGAAGCCGGUCGCACCCGAAGUAUCUGAAGCCAACCGCAAGGAGGCAGGGUCCUAAGGUGAGACUGGUAACUGGGAUG
rnacentral:rRNA from 1 species